ACCUUUCUAGUAUACUUAGUACAGGUGACUUCCACUCAUCAGGCCUUAAUCCAUUUAAGGAAAGGUA
rnacentral:tRNA from 1 species